rnacentral:rRNA from 1 species
GGGGGGGGGGGGGGGGGGGCGGGGGGGGGGGAGGGCGAAGGGGGGGGGCGGGGGGGGGGGGGGUGCUGGGGUGGCGAACGGGUGAGUAACAGGUGAGUAGCCUGCCCUGGACGGUGGGAGAGCGGCAGGAAGCUGGGUCUAAGACCGGCUAGGAGCUCCUGCUGCAUGGUGGUGGUGGGAAAGUUUCGGCGGUUGGGUAUUGACUCGCGGCGUAUCAGCUUGUUGGUGGGUUCGUGGCUUACCCAGGCUUUGACGGGUAGCCGGCCUGAGAGGGUGACCGGCCACAUUGGGACUGAGAUACGGCCCAGACUCCUACGGGAGGCAGCAGUGGGGAAAAUUGCACAAUGGGCGGAAGCCUGAUGCAGCAACGCCGUGUGCGGGAUGACGGCCUUCGGGUUGUAAACCGCUUUCGCCUGUGCCGAAGCGUGAGUGACGGUAAUGGGUAAAGAAGCACCCGCUAACUACGUG